GGGCCCGCACAAGCAGUGGAGUAUGUGGUUUAAUUCGAAGCAACGCGAAGAACCUUACCAGGGCUUGACAUCCUACUGAUGAAGUAGAGAUACAUUAAGUGCCCCUUCGGGGGAAAGUAGAGACAGGUGGUGCAUGGUUGUCGUCAGCUCGUGUCGUGAGAUGUUGGGUUAAGUCCCGCAACGAGCGCAACCCUUAUGGUUAGUUGCUACGCAAGAGCACUCUAGCCAGACUGCCGUUGACAAAACGGAGGAAGGUGGGGACGACGUCAAAUCAUCAUGCCCCUUAUGUCCUGGGCUACACACGUACUACAAUGGCGGUCAUACAACGGGUUGCGAAAUCGCGAGAUGGAGCUAAUCCCCAAAAGCCGCCUCAGUUCAGAUUGCAGGCUGAAACUCGCCUGCAUGAAGUCGGAAUUGCUAGUAAUCGCGGAUCAGAAUGCCG
rnacentral:rRNA from 1 species